UUAAAUUUUAUUUUCAUAGCAGAAGAGCUUGUGUUCAAUUUAUAUUAACAUUUUCAUAUAAAGUUUGUCUGUUUGUUUCCUUAAAAAGAAAGUGGAGAUUUGUACAACACAGAUGAUGAGUCCAACUCACAUCUUGACCAGGAAAUUAUCUUGCAGGAUGAGAACUUUAUACAGAAAAUUGGUCAGUUUUAUAACCAGCCGGACCUCAGCGAUGUUAAACUCAAGGUAGGCAGCACAACUUAUUUUGGUCACAGAUUUGUGCUUGCUAAGUCCAGUGAUGUGCUUGGUACCAUGCUGUAUAGCAACAACUGGAUUCAGUCAAGUCUGCCAGAAAUUACUCUAGAAGAAACUGAAGAGUGCCAGAAGUAUUUUGAUAGGUUUCUCAGGUACCUAUACACAGCAGAAGUAAAGAUUCACAUGGAUUCUGCAGUUGCGAUUCUCUUACUUGCAGAUAAAUAUGGAGUGGCAUCGCUGAAAAAUUUGUGCACACGGUUCAUGGUUGAACAUGCCAGGUCACCCUUACUAAGUAAUGCACUGAACUGGUAUUCCUGGUCUAAAGUUUUAACCUGAAGG
rnacentral:sRNA from 1 species